rnacentral:rRNA from 1 species
AACGAACGCUGGCGGCAUGCCUAACACAUGCAAGUCGAACGAGACCUUCGGGUCUAGUGGCGCACGGGUGCGUAACGCGUGGGAACCUGCCCUUAGGUUCGGAAUAACUCCCCGAAAGGGGUGCUAAUACCGGAUAAUGUCUUCGGACCAAUGAUUUAUCGCCUUUGGAUGGGCCCGCGUUGGAUUAGCUCGUUGGUAGGGUAAAAGCCUACCAAGGCGACGAUCCAUAGCUGGUCUGAGAGGAUGAUCAGCCACACUGGGACUGAGACACGGCCCAGACUACUACGGGAGGCAGCAGUGGGGAAUAUUGGACAAUGGGCGAAAGCCUGAUCCAGCAAUGCCGCGUGAGUGAUGAAGGCCUUAGGGUUGUAAAGCUCUUUUACCCGGGAUGAUAAUGACAGUACCGGGAGAAUAAGCUCCGGCUAACUCCGU